rnacentral:ncRNA from 1 species
CAUAACUCGUUGAUGAAGAGGAGUACAUGCCGAUUGAUUUGUACAGAGAGCCUGGUGUGGUGAGAUCCAGGCCAAAUCGGCAGCAUGGAAUGGACUUCAGAGAGAUUCCUUGAAACAUAGUAGGGGAAUCCGGUUUCCCCCGUUACCGGGAUAGGAUAUCAAGGCUAAAGCUUUCGUAUCCGAAUGAGAGGAAAGCAAAAGAGCUUUCAAUAGAGGUGGCACCGCGGUGUAAAACCGUCCCCUAU